rnacentral:rRNA from 1 species
GUUGAAAAAUUAGCGGAUGACUUGUGGCUGGGGGUGAAAGGCCAAUCAAACCGGGAGAUAGCUGGUUCUCCCCGAAAUCUAUUUAGGUAGAGCCUUGAGCGGACACCUUCGGGGGUAGAGCACUGUUUCGGCUAGGGGUCCAUCCCGGAUUACCAACCCGAUGCAAACUACGAAUACCGAAGAGUGAUACUCAGGAGACACACGGCGGGUGCUAACGUCCGUCGUGGAGAGGGAAACAACCCAGACCGCCAGCUAAGGUCCCAAAGUCUAUAUUAAGUGGGAAACGAAGUGGGAAGGCUUAGACAGCUAGGAUGUUGGCUUAGAAGCAGCCAUCAUUUAAAGAAAGCGUAAUAGCUCACUAGUCGAGUCGGCCUGCGCGGAAGAUGUAACGGGGCUCAAAUAUAGCACCGAAGCUGCGGCAUCAGUAGCAAUACUGUUGGGUAGGGGAGCGUUCUGUAAGCGGAUGAAGAUGGCUCGAGAGGGCUGUUGGACGUAUCAGAAGUGCGAAUGCUGACAUAAGUAACGAUAAAACGGGUGAAAAACCCGUUCGCCGGAAGACCAAGGGUUCCUGUCCAACGUUAAUCGGGGCAGGGUGAGUCGGCCCCUAAGACGAGGCUGAAAAGCGUAGUCGAUGGGAAACGGGUUAAUAUUCCCGUACUUGGAUAAACUGCGAUGUGGGGACGGAGCAGGUUAGGUUAUCGCACUGUUGGAUAUGUGCGUUUAAGUUGGUAGGUGUGAAGUUUAGGCAAAUCCGGACUUCUUUAACACCGAGAGAUGAUGACGAGGCUCUACGGAGCUGAAGUAACCGAUACCACACUUCCAGGAAAAGCCACUAAGCUUCAGGUUUAUCUAAACCGUACUGAAAACCGACACAGGUGGUCAGGUAGAGAAUACUCAGGCGCUUGAGAGAACUCGGGUGAAGGAACUAGGCAAAAUAGCACCGUAACUUCGGGAGAAGGUGCGCCGGCGUAGAUUGUAGUCCCUUGCGGAUGAAGGUUGAACCGGUCGAAGAUACCAGCUGGCUGCAACUGUUUAUUAAAAACACAGCACUCUGCAAACACGAAAGUGGACGUAUAGGGUGUGAUGCCUGCCCGGUGCUGGAAGGUUAAUUGAUGGUGUAAUCGAAAGAGAAGCUCCUGAUCGAAGCCCCAGUAAACGGCGGCCGUAACUAUAACGGUCCUAAGGUAGCGAAAUUCCUUGUCGGGUAAGUUCCGAC